CACUCUAAUUAAAGCACGACAGCCAUUAAUUUGGAAUUUCCUAAUUCCUACACCCAUAUAUUAUCAACGCCCCACUCCCAAUUCCUAAAAGAGCGAACAACCUGUCUUUGAGAAUUUCUAACCAAUUGUCUGGAACUUCUUCGACAACUUGCAUGAAGUUCGAUCAGGAUUGGCAAGGUAAAUCUCAACAAUGUUAAGGUUCCUAAGAUGCCAGGUGGUGGUGCAGCUUCUGUUUUGAUCAAAUUGAGAAUCCUUUAUUAGAUGUUAUAUAUAAAAGUCGACAUGAAUCAAUAUGAACCAAUCUACUUCUGCACUUCCUUGAUUUGCCAUUUAAUGUUUUAGGCAUCUAUGUGACCAAGUCAGUCACGUGACCCCUUAAUUAUUGAAAGCCAACAAAGAAAAUGGGUUGACUCCACUGAACUAGAGCACAAUUUCCAAGGAAAGACAUUGCUGAUACUUCUAUCAAUUUAGGAUCGACAAUUUUUGCCUUUCGUUUUGGGUUUCGAGUUCUUUUUCGGGCGUCGAUUUAAGACUUCGAUUUGCAAUUUCGGAGUUCGGUUCAAGGUUUGUUGCUUUGUUUAGCCCGAUUAAUUUAUAAUUUUGAGUUUUAUUCAUCAAUAAAAGAUCUAUCUCUAUUUUUAUUUUUAUUUCGUUGUAUUAUGAUAGUUUGGUGUGCUUGUUGGUUGAUUUUUGUUUCUACAUUAUUUGAGUGGCAUAUUUUAGUUUUUAAUUAAAUUGUUUUAAUUAGUUUUUAUUUCAACUGUGA
rnacentral:lncRNA from 1 species